UACGGAGGAUGCGAGCGUUAUCCGGAUUUAUUGGGUUUAAAGGGUGCGCAGGCGGUCUGUUAAGUCAGCGGUCAAAGCCCGGGGCUCAACCCCGGCGAGCCGUUGAAACUGCAUCCCUUGAGUGCGCGAGAAGUAUGCGGAAUGCGUGGUGUAGCGGUGAAAUGCAUAGAUAUCGCGCAGAACCCCGAUUGCGAAGGCAGCCUGCCGGCCCCACACUGACGCUGAGGCACGAAAGCGUGGGUAUCGAACAGG
rnacentral:rRNA from 1 species